rnacentral:tRNA from 1 species
AUGUGGUUCAAGUGGUAACACACUUGCCUGGCAUGCAUGGGGCACUGGGUUCGAUCCUCAGAACCACAUA